AACGAUACUUUGCAGGACAGACCUCGGAAAUCUUAGCAAGCAAAGCACGGUGAUAGAGUGCCCGAUUUCUGUAUAUUUGUGCAGAAAUAUGGGCGUUCUCCGUAGGCUUGCUAGAGGGUUUCGGCUCUUACCUCUCCGAGGGGGUGUUCUGCAUGCGGGGAGCGACCAUAUUUCUUGCUUCCCUCUUUUAGAAUCAUUGCUUUA
rnacentral:ncRNA from 1 species